UACAGAGGGUGCGAGCGUUAAUCGGAAUUACUGGGCGUAAAGCGCACGUAGGUGGCUUGGCAAGUCGGGUGUGAAAUCCCCGGGCUCAACCUGGGAAUUGCAUUCGAGACUGAGUAGCUAGGGUACGGUAGAGGGAAGUGGAAUUUCCGGUGUAGCGGUGAAAUGCGUAGAUAUCGGAAGGAACAUCAGUGGCGAAGGCGACUUCCUGGACCAAUACUGACACUCAGGUGCGAAAGCGUGGGGAGCAAACAGG
rnacentral:rRNA from 1 species